CGUGCGAUACAGGGUGACAGCCCCGUACACAAAAAUGCACAUACUGUGAGCUCGAUGAGUAGGGCGGGACACGUGGUAUCCUGUCUGAAUAUGGGGGGACCAUCCUCCAAGGCUAAAUACUCCUGACUGACCGAUAGUGAACCAGUACCGUGAGGGAAAGGCGAAAAGAACCCCGGCGAGGGGAGUGAAAAAGAACCUGAAACCGUGUACGUACAAGCAGUGGGAGCACGCUUAGGCGUGUGACUGCGUACCUUUUGUAUAAUGGGUCAGCGACUUAUAUUCUGUAGCAAGGUUAACCGAAUAGGGGAGCCGAAGGGAAACCGAGUCUUAACUGGGCGUUAAGUUGCAGGGUAUAGACCCGAAACCCGGUGAUCUAGCCAUGGGCAGGUUGAAGGUUGGGUAACACUAACUGGAGGACCGAACCGACUAAUGUUGAAAAAUUAGCGGAUGACUUGUGGCUGGGGGUGAAAGGCCAAUCAAACCGGGAGAUAGCUGGUUCUCCCCGAAAGCUAUUUAGGUAGCGCCUCGUGAAUUCAUCUCCGGGGGUAGAGCACUGUUUCGGCAAGGGGGUCAUCCCGACUUACCAACCCGAUGCAAACUGCGAAUACCGGAGAAUGUUAUCACGGGAGACACACGGCGGGUGCUAACGUCCGUCGUGAAGAGGGAAACAACCCAGACCGCCAGCUAAGGUCCCAAAGUCAUGGUUAAGUGGGAAACGAUGUGGGAAGGCCCAGACAGCCAGGAUGUUGGCUUAGAAGCAGCCAUCAUUUAAAGAAAGCGUAAUAGCUCACUGGUCGAGUCGGCCUGCGCGGAAGAUGUAACGGGGCUAAACCAUGCACCGAAGCUGCGGCAGCGACGCUUAUGCGUUGUUGGGUAGGGGAGCGUUCUGUAAGCCUGUGAAGGUGUGCUGUGAGGUAUGCUGGAGGUAUCAGAAGUGCGAAUGCUGACAUAAGUAACGAUAAAGCGGGUGAAAAGCCCGCUCGCCGGAAGACCAAGGGUUCCUGUCCAACGUUAAUCGGGGCAGGGUGAGUCGACCCCUAAGGCGAGGCCGAAAGGCGUAGUCGAUGGGAAACAGGUUAAUAUUCCUGUACUUGGUGUUACUGCGAAGGGGGGACGGAGAAGGCUAUGUUGGCCGGGCGACGGUUGUCCCGGUUUAAGCGUGUAGGCUGGUUUUCCAGGCAAAUCCGGAAAAUCAAGGCCGAGGCGUGAUGACGAGGCACUACGGUGCUGAAGCAACAAAUGCCCUGCUUCCAGGAAAAGCCUCUAAGCAUCAGGUAACAUCAAAUCGUACCCCAAACCGACACAGGUGGUCAGGUAGAGAAUACCAAGGCGCUUGAGAGAACUCGGGUGAAGGAACUAGGCAAAAUGGUGCCGUAACUUCGGGAGAAGGCACGCUGAUACGUAGGUGAAGCGACUUGCUCGUGGAGCUGAAAUCAGUCGAAGAUACCAGCUGGCUGCAACUGUUUAUUAAAAACACAGCACUGUGCAAACACGAAAGUGGACGUAUACGGUGUGACGCCUGCCCGGUGCCGGAAGGUUAAUUGAUGGGGUUAGCGCAAGCGAAGCUCUUGAUCGAAGCCCCGGUAAACGGCGGCCGUAACUAUAACGGUCCUAAGGUAGCGAAAUUCCUUGUCGGGUAAGUUCCGACCUGCACGAAUGGCGUAAUGAUGGCCAGGCUGUCUCCACCCGAGACUCAGUGAAAUUGAACUCGCUGUGAAGAUGCAGUGUACCCGCGGCAAGACGGAAAGACCCCGUGAACCUUUACUAUAGCUUGACACUGAACAUUGAGCCUUGAUGUGUAGGAUAGGUGGGAGGCUUUGAAGUGUGGACGCCAGUCUGCAUGGAGCCGACCUUGAAAUACCACCCUUUAAUGUUUGAUGUUCUAACGUGGACCCGUGAUCCGGGUUGCGGACAGUGUCUGGUGGGUAGUUUGACUGGGGCGGUCUCCUCCUAAAGAGUAACGGAGGAGCACGAAGGUUGGCUAAUCCUGGUCGGACAUCAGGAGGUUAGUGCAAUGGCAUAAGCCAGCUUGACUGCGAGCGUGACGGCGCGAGCAGGUGCGAAAGCAGGUCAUAGUGAUCCGGUGGUUCUGAAUGGAAGGGCCAUCGCUCAACGGAUAAAAGGUACUCCGGGGAUAACAGGCUGAUACCGCCCAAGAGUUCAUAUCGACGGCGGUGUUUGGCACCUCGAUGUCGGCUCAUCACAUCCUGGGGCUGAAGUAGGUCCCAAGGGUAUGGCUGUUCGCCAUUUAAAGUGGUACGCGAGCUGGGUUUAGAACGUCGUGAGACAGUUCGGUCCCUAUCUGCCGUGGGCGCUGGAGAACUGAGGGGGGCUGCUCCUAGUACGAGAGGACCGGAGUGGACGCAUCACUGGUGUUCGGGUUGUCAUGCCAAUGGCACUGCCCGGUAGCUAAAUGCGGAAGAGAUAAGUGCUGAAAGCAUCUAAGCACGAAACUUGC
rnacentral:rRNA from 1 species